rnacentral:rRNA from 1 species
UACGUAGGUGGCAAGCGUUGUCCGGAUUUACUGGGCGUAAAGAGCGCGCAGGCGGUCGUUCAAGUCGCGUGUGAAAGCCCCCGGCUCAACUGGGGAGGGUCAUUCGAUACUGUUCGACUCGAAGGCAGGAGAGGGAAGUGGAAUUCCCGGUGUAGUGGUGAAAUGCGUAGAUAUCGGGAGGAACACCAGUGGCGAAGGCGACUUCCUGGCCUGUUCUUGACGCUGAGGCGCGAAAGCUAGGGGAGCAAACGGGG